CCCAGCACUGCUCCGCAGCCUUGCCCCGAGCGCGACCUGUUCCCCUCCCGGCCCGCUGUGAUUGCCCGGCCCUGUGCGUCCCAAACCAUCUCCAACCGCCCUGCGUCCCUCCCAGGCACACGCGAAGGGACGCCCACGUUAGCUCGUGCUAAAGUCAAUAUUCUCAAGGCUGCUGGAGUAAACUUCCCAGUCGCGUUCAGGUUUCCUUGCCUUCAGGAUCCUGCCCAGACGUCCGAGCAUUGUGGAGGUCAAAGGAUAAUUUGCAAGGCUUAGUAAUGUCUUUCCACCGUGUGGAUCCCAGGGAUGGAAAUCAGGUCAUCAAACUUUUCAAGUAGCAGAGAUGACUCUGCGGGCAGGAGCACAUGCUGCUCUUCCAAAGCAGGCUUGGACUCACAUAGGUCAUUGCUGCUCCAGGGAUGUGCUGCUCUCUUCUGGCCUCUGUUGGCACAUGUUCCAGGAGCUCAUUAUCCAAUAGACUUGGAAAACCAAAGAGCUACAAUCAACCAUAUGAGAGCCAAGAAGAGGAAGCCUGGAUGUAGUCGGUCUACACAAGGCUGGGAGGACACAAGCAGAGGCAAGAGAGAGGGAAAAAAUAUGACACUGGGUUCAACUUCACACAGAGAGGAGUGCUGUGCUUGGAUGGGUGUACCAGGUUUACCAAGUGGCAGGUGUGGUCCCUUUUCUGUCCUAGUAGGCCCUUCUCUUGGGAGAGAUCUCCUGAGCACAGUGACUCCCUGGUGGUAGGGUUACAAGCCAGAGUCUCAGGCACAGUGUCUUGAAAACUUGUCUUUCAGGUCCUGCUCUCUGAAGACUGAGGGUGACUCACCAUCUAACUUUUUCUUCAUGUCUGGGAUAGAGAAAGGAGGAGAGAAGAGACAAGGAUAUAAAUAGUGACAGAGCUUGUCUGGUAGCGAGGGGGAGAAGAGGGAGGAGAGAGAGCAGAGGGAAGAAAGGAAAGAAAAGAAAGAAAGGAGAACAGGAAGGAGACAGGGGAGGGGUUUUGCUUGACUUCUGGAUACUCACAGUAAAAUAGGAAGAAUGAAUGUCUAGUUAGCCAGACAUGGUGGUGCAUACCUUUGAUCCUUGCACUUGGGAAGCAGAGGUAGACUCUGGGAGCCUGAGGUCAGCCUGGUCCACAUGAUGUAUUCCAGGACAGCCAGGGCUACAUAGAGAGACUCUGUCACAAACAAAACAACAACAACAGCAAAAAGAAUGAGUUAACUACCCCACCCUUGCAAACCAGUGCCUCAUGAUUAUCAUUGCUCUCUGGUUCCUGUUGAUAGUUUCUUUCUGCCACUCAAAAACUGUGAGGUAGCUAAGAGGUUACAUACAAGAAGGAAACUCAUCCACUCGUGUUUUCUAAAAUAGAACCAAGGAUACUCACAUUAAAAUAGUACUGGGCUAGCAAGGUGGCUUAGUGGAUAAAACACUUGUCAAGCAAGCAUGAGUCCAGUUCCCCAAAUCACACAAAAGACAAAUGGGUGUGUGGGUGCCUGCAAUCCCUCCCAAUGAGUAGGGGUUGAGAAGGAAAUUUAUGAAGCAUGUGACUAGCCAAACCGACCCAAAUGACUAGCUCCAGGUUCAGGUAGACACUCUACCUCAUUGAACAAGGUAGACAGCAAUCCAAGAAGACAACUAACACCAACCUUGUCACCCACAUGUGCAACCACACAUAUAUAAACACACAUAUACAUACAAAUACAUACACAUAUAUACAUAUACACACCCAUACACAGAGCAAAGGAACAACAACAAAUAUCCUUCUCAUUCAGGUAUGGUGGUCCAUGCUUAUAUUCCCAGAGGUAGGGAGGUAGAAGUAGAGGAUUGACCAUUUUAGGCCAACUUGAGCUGUAUAUUAAGAUCCUAUCUCAAAGCAAAUGAGCAAGCAUUUCACACUAACUAUCCAUUUAAGUGUGCAGACUAACUAAUGAUAUCUGAAAAUUGUCCCUCUCCUCCAGAACUGGCACUUCCCGAGGAUCCAUUUGGCAGCUGCCAUCACUAGGCCGAGAUCUGUCUCUGAAGCUCCUAGCAGCUGUCUCUCUCCACAAUGACAUCCCAGAGGCUUGAUGUGGAACUUUCACUACACCUCAGACCUUUUCUUUAACCUGCUCUUCUAAUUUCUUUCUCUUCAUUCUCUUGCCUCAUUGGUUGACUGAGGAAGAAACUUGAUUGGCCAGCUAUCAUGGUAUCUCUGGGGUCAGCUUCUUCCCUUCAAGCCCUGGCUUCAGCAACGCAUUGGCCCUCAGUGCCUGGGAAAUUAAAAUAAGCUCUUGGCUCAUGUGUGUGGGUCCUUUGAACCUUUCUUAAACAGUGAUUGAUGAUGGACGUAUCUUUAUGAAAAAGCAAGCCUAAUUCUCUGCUGGUCUUGAAAUCCUUCAGAGUCCUCACUCACUGACAAUGGAGUCCAAACUCGUAGUGUGCCACCCCACUGACUGUUAGCUCUCCAGCCCUAUUGAUGGUCUUGUCUGGAGUUAUGCACAGUUAAGCUUUGCUUCUCAAAAGGCCCUUGAUGGGCUGCUGAGAGGAAUCUUGAUCAAGGUCUCCACAAAUUUCCAUCUGGGUGUGGAGGUACAUGCCUGUAAUCCCUGUUCUUGGGAGGUCAGGAGUUCGGGAUUGGCUGCAUACCUCCAAGUCAGCCUGGGCUAAACCAAAGGAAAACAAGAAGCUUUCUCUUUUAUGUGUUAACUUUGGGGGCUGUCUUUCUAAGUCAUAAAACAUGUUGAGUCAUCAACAUAUGUGUGAUGCUAGAGUGUGCAGAGGGGUCUUCUAGAGAGCUUGUGUCAUGGCCCUCUCUACUCAGCAAGUCCUCCUGCCGUGUUGCCAAAGAGAAUUCCAGCAGGUUCUAAGUGAUGACGGUACUGCUCCGCUGUGAAGCACAUUUUAAGGAAGAAAGGUCUACAAUGAUGACUGUCUUCUGGGCACUUCCACAAAAGUCUUCUCAUUGUUAUUGGCUAAAGAAAGAGAAAGACAGACACAUUUUGUUAGAUUUCACUUUUUAAAUGGUGUGUGUGUGUGUUUGCAUGUAUGUGUGUGCAUGUGCUCCUGCGGGAAUAGGAAUGAAGUCCCCUUGGAGAAGAGGAGAGCUGAUACCAUGGAGCUGGGGUUACAGAAAGUUUUGAGCCAUCUAACGUCAGGGUUGGGAACUGAACUGAUUCCCCUCCAAGAGCAUCAAGGGUUCUUAACCACUCAGCCAUCUCUCCAGCCCCUGUGUGAUAUUUUGAAAAACACUCAUUACAGAUGAAGUUCAAAUCAAGUCACAGUUUGCUGGAUGAACACAGAUCGGGUAUUUUUAGAUAGAGUCUCUUUAGCCUGAAACUAACUCUGUACAUCAGGCUGUGCUCAAAUGCAGAGAUCUGCCUGCCCUGCCUUCCAAGUGCUGUGAUUAAAGGUGUGCGCCAUUACACUCAGCUAUAAUGUUCUCUAUAGAUUUGAAUGCAUGCGUUUGCUUACUUUAGUGACUGUUUCUUUCUAGUCAAAGAAAAAGAUGUCAUCUUGUUCAUAAUCAUGUCACACAUCACACAGGCUCAACAAACAUCUCCUGAAAGAAGAAAUGAAAGCAACAUUUGGUUUUGUACAUCUUGACUCAGAAAGAACUGUAUCCACUUCCAGCAUGGGUGCCCUGAACCCAUGAUGCUCACACAAGACUGAAAGAAAGCAAAAGUAUCCAGUAAUUGUAAGUUUCCUCUUCAUGUAAUUUGACUCCAGUGUUAUAUUUCAAAGGCAUUGCUUUGUCCUUUAGGGAAUCUGCUGGAAAAUGUAUUUGCCCUCACUUUCCAGAACUUUUUUGAAAUUAAAGCAUAAAGUUUUCAAGUAAGGCAAAAGAAACCCGGUGAUUACAUUUUGGUUGUUGCAUCAUCAGAACUAAAAAUAGGGUGAGAAAAUGGAAAAUCAUUACCGGAACCUACAUCCAAAGCAUGGUUAAAGAUUAUGGAUGAGCUUGAAUCAUGGCCGAUGUUCAUCUUUCAAUCGUGCAGAGCCAUGCAGAGCAAGUUCUGAAACACACGGAAUCUACUGGACUCAACUUACCAGUUCUGACUUCGUCAAGACUUUUGUUUAUUUAUUUUUGUUUUAAAAACAUGUUUUUUUGAUACCCAUUGGUGCUUGACUCGGCCAGGCUCUCUCCACGUUCCCUCCCGCCUAUCGGUGGGCCAACUGAGGACACAUGGUACCCUGGAUUCAGACCAUUUUCCAUCGCUACAAAUGAGAGACAGAAACACCACUCUACGUCCUUCAGAGAAGACAGAAGACAAAUGGGCACAAAACAACAUCCAUCCACAAUUCGCUUCAUCAACUGCCAAGUCCUAACCACUGGGAAAAAACUGCCUUUCAUCUAAACUGAAGAUUCCAGACGGUGGACAGAAUUGAGCAGUUAGAUAGCCUAACUGCUCAGGUCAAGAUCAGGAUGUGUGUGAGCUCUCAGCUACUGCUCCAACACCAUGGCCACUUACCUGCUGCCAUGCUCCCUGCCAUCAUGGUCAUGGUCUCUAACCCUCUGGAACUGUAAGCCCGAUAAACUUUCUUCUACCAGUUGCCUUGUUCAUGAUGUCUCUUCACAGAAAUAGAACAGUACCUAGGAGAUGCCGUGUCAGAUCUCAGCAGAGAGACAGUGUUGUCCUCUGACUGCCCAUUGGUCAUUUGCUACUUCUUGUGAUCUGGAGGUGGGUAGACUCUCAGAAUUAACCACUGUAGCAGAACUGAAGCAGGCAGGGAGAUGUACCUGCUAUAGGGAAAGGGGAUUGCUGAAGACUUGACAGUGACAUCUGGUCACUGUAUUAUCAUAAACACAAGUAGUAUUGUUUUUCCAAUUUUACGGGCUCAAUGAGACUGCUUUGCCAAAACUCAGAGCACAGUUGGUAAACAGAUUAACUAACUCUUCUAAUGACUUUUUUUUUUUUGUUGGUAUUUAAGUUGGAGAGCACAUUAGCUAUCCAAGUUUUUUGGUGUUUAAAAAAAAUAAAAAUGUAAUGUAUUUAUUUUAA